GACGAACGCUGGCGGCGUGCUUAACACAUGCAAGUCGAGCGGAAAGGCCCUUCGGGGUACUCGAGCGGCGAACGGGUGAGUAACACGUGAGUAACCUGCCCCUGACUCUGGGAUAAGCCUGGGAAACCGGGUCUAAUACCGGAUAUGACACUUCACCGCAUGGUGUGGGUGUGGAAAGUUUUUUCGGUUGGGGAUGGGCUCGCGGCCUAUCAGCUUGUUGGUGGGGUGAUGGCCUACCAAGGCGACGACGGGGAGCCGGCCUGAGAGGGCGGACGGCCACACUGGGACUGAGACACGGGCCAGACUCCUACGGGAGGCAGCAGUGGGGAAUAUUGCGCAAUGGGCGGAAGCCUGACGCAGCGACGCCGCGUGGGGGAUGACGGCCUUCGGGUUGUAAACCUCUUUCAGCAGGGACGAAGUUGACGUGUACCUGUAGAAGAAGCGCCGGCUAACUACGUGCCAGCCGCCGCGGUAAUAC
rnacentral:rRNA from 1 species